CCUACGGGGGGCAGCAGUGGGGAAUAUUGCGCAAUGGGCGAAAGCCUGACGCAGCGACGCCGCGUGAGGGAUGAAGGUCUUCGGAUCGUAAACCUCUGUCAGCAGGGAAGAACGGUCACUGUGCUAAUCAGCAGUGCAUUGACGGUACCUGCAAAGGAAGCACCGGCUAACUCCGUGCCAGCAGCCGCGGUAAUACGGAGGGUGCGAGCGUUAAUCGGAAUUACUGGGCGUAAAGCGCUCGUAGGCGGUAUGUCAAGUCAAGGGUGAAAUCCCCGCGCGCAACGUGGGAACUGCCUUUGAAACUGGCAAACUGGAGGGGGUGAGAGGAUAGUGGAAUGCCAGGUGUAGGAGUGAAAUCCGUAGAUAUCUGGAGGAACAUCAGUGGCGAAGGCGACUAUCUGGCACAUAACUGACGCUGAGGAGCGAAAGCGUGGGUAGCAAACAGGAUUAGAUACCCCUGUAGUC
rnacentral:rRNA from 1 species